CCCAAAGCUGCGGAGAGCUUGCCUUUGGCGGAGCCUUUUGCUACAUCACAUGAUUAGAUGACAUCCUCAGGUGAAAUUUUAACAUCAGUGGUGGGCAGAUUGAAGCACAGGCUUGACAGAGAGAAGGAAACUAGAAGGGAAAAGAAGAAAUGAAAACAAGAAUGACAAUCAAAACUAAAGAUACAGGGGCUGCUAGAGUAAGCCAACGAACAA
rnacentral:lncRNA from 1 species